CAGGCCUAACACAUGCAAGUCGAGCGGACCAUUCCUUCGGGGAUGGUUAGCGGCGGACGGGUGAGUGACACGUAGGCAACCUGCCUGUAAGAUCGGGAUAACUACCGGAAACGGUAGCUAAGACCGGAUAGCUGGUUUCCCCGCAUGGGGGAAUCAUGAAACACGGGGCAACCUGUGGCUUACGGAUGGGCCUGCGGCGCAUUAGCUAGUUGGUGGGGUAACGGCCCACCAAGGCGACGAUGCGUAGCCGACCUGAGAGGGUGAUCGGCCACACUGGGACUGAGACACGGCCCAGACUCCUACGGGAGGCAGCAGUAGGGAAUCUUCCGCAAUGGGCGCAAGCCUGACGGAGCAACGCCGCGUGAGUGAUGAAGGUUUUCGGAUCGUAAAGCUCUGUUGCCAAGGAAGAACGCCUCGGAGAGUAACUGCUCUGAGGGUGACGGUACUUGAGAAGAAAGCCCCGGCUAACUACGUGCCAGCAGCCGCGGUAAUACGUAGGGGGCAAGCGUUGUCCGGAAUUAUUGGGCGUAAAGCGCGCGCAGGCGGUCUUUUAAGUUUGGUGUUUAAGCCCGGGGCUCAACCCCGGUUCGCACUGAAAACUGGGAGACUUGAGUGCAGGAGAGGAAAGCGGAAUUCCACGUGUAGCGGUGAAAUGCGUAGAGAUGUGGAGGAACACCAGUGGCGAAGGCGGCUUUCUGGACUGUAACUGACGCUGAGGCGCGAAAGCGUGGGGAGCAAACAGGAUUAGAU
rnacentral:rRNA from 1 species